AGUUAUAAAGUACCACUUGCAUGAGGGCAGUGGGUGUUGGGGGCCGCAGCCUCUCCACUAUAAUCUAGAUUUACACUUGUGAGUGCGCCAGCGAGAGGUCCCCAUUUGGUAAUGCCCCUCCCCUCCACUUAAAAGAGGCCCUGAGAUUACAAUACGACGUUACCGAUUAUUAUCAGCCACGGCAAUUCAGGUGGGAUGAAAUUAUAUGUGUGUGUACGAGGCGGAUAGUUUCCUUGCAAUACCGCCAAUGUUGGCAAUACUGAGAUAAAUAUUGUUAUUAUUGUUAUAUAAUUUCAUUGUGAGAUUGUGUUGUCUCAGUGAUUAUUUUAUGACUACGUGCCAGAAAUAAGUAUGUUGGAAUUAUAUAUCGAUCUCAAUCAUAGAUAAUCGAAUAUAAAAAAGAUUGAUAAAAAAUUGAACAUGAAAUUGCUAAAAUGUUAAAUUAGAAAAUUUAGAAAAUUUGUUGAAAAGUUGUCCGCUUCUGUUACCUUUAUUAAAAUUGCACUUCACUUACUGCGUACUAAAUGUGGUUAGAAAAGGUCUACUAUAAGUCUAUAUAUGUAUGUACUACCUAAAGUUCAAUGAUAUGUACGCGAGUGUCCAAUUAAAUCACACGAACACCUAUAAAAACUGAUGGAAUUUUGACCGGACAAAUUCAAGCACGUUCCCUGAACAUUGUUAAAUUUUCAUGCAAGCAAGGCCAAGGGGUUGAACUAGUAACUGCAUGCCAAUUCUCACCGGUUCGUUACAAACCUGAAAUGCCAUUGCUAGAAAAGGUAGUUGCAACUGUUGCAUGGUAAAGUUUCAGGAAGUGGUCGAACCAUGCACUUUUGCAUGAGGUUUGAUAUAUAACAAAAAUGAGGGUUUCUCAAAAAACCCAAAAUGAAGUUAACUGCGAUAUCGACCUUUUUGAAGGAUAUAUUCAGUGAAUUCGAUGAUUUAUGCGCGGUAUGAAAAGGCAGUUAUUUAGUUUCACAAUGUCAGUCAAUGAUAUACAUUAAUUUCUGUGGUUCAUAACAGCAAGAAAUGAUGAUAUAUUUUUUAAAUGAAGAUUAUUGACAGAGUGAUUUUGAGUGAUUCAACUGAAUUGUGAGUUGAAAAAUGAAAAAUCCAAUUGAUACAUUCGUUUUCAUUCCAAAACGGUUUCAAACACCGCCAAUUUACAAUAAAAAGUGAAGCUAACAUAUAUUUCCUCAGUUGGAUCGUGUGGACAGAGCGUCUAUAAAAAGUAAUAUAGACAAAAACGAUUUUGAAAACGCUCCAAAACGACGGUCGUGUACACAGCCUAUAGGCUAAUGAAGUUCUAUAUUUUAUGCUUGUGCUUGUGCCUGCGUGCUUGUGAGGUACUGAAAGAAUUUUUUUUCCAAUUCUAGGCUCAUAUAAUGAAAAUAAACAUUUUUUCAGGAGAGGUUGCAUUGAAAUUUUAAACUUAUUUCGACUCAUGUUUCAUGCUCCUCCGUUGGAAUGGGACGAUUUCCUUGCAGAACGUGCGCAAUCCUGGGCAUUGUAUCUAAGUAAUAGACAGGACAAAAAUCAAUCAGAGAUCAAACGUUCGAAAUAUGGGGAUACUGUAUAUUGUACUGAAGAAGUUGAUAAAAUAGACGCUGUGUGUUUUAAAGCGUUUGCUUCUUGGUUCCGAGAAAUGGACGAUAAUUAUAUGGAGCCAAGCGUAA